rnacentral:lncRNA from 1 species
CCAUCAACAUCGUGUAAUUGNUGCCGCUNUUGAAACCUUAAUCGCACCACCAUGGUCACGCCGUCACCACCAUUGCGAAACCAGUACCACCACAGAAACAUCAGUCUUGCAUCGCCACUGAGCCACCUUCUUCCACGACCACCAUCAUCGGACCUGCAAUCAGAAAAANAGCAAGAACCCCAAAACUGGCCAUCACAAGCGUCUCAACCANCCACC